rnacentral:sRNA from 1 species
AGAGCCAACACUCUGAUAUAGGGAGUUCGGUCUCUGGAUGCAGCAUAUAAGCCCUUUCGAAGGGAAAUAUAAAGCACUCAGGAGGACACCCACCUGGGGAGCCGGGUCUCUA